rnacentral:rRNA from 1 species
UACAGAGACUGCAAGCGUUAUUCGGAUUCACUGGGCGUAAAGGGCUCGUAGGCGGCCAACUAAGUCGGAUGUGAAAUCCCCAGGCUUAACCUGGGAACUGCAUCCGAUACUGGAUGGCUUGAAUCCGGGAGAGGGAUGCGGAAUUCCAGGUGUAGCGGUGAAAUGCGUAGAUAUCUGGAGGAACACCGGUGGCGAAGGCGGCAUCCUGGACCGGCAUUGACGCUGAGGAGCGAAAGCCAGGGGAGCAAACGGG